rnacentral:misc_RNA from 1 species
UACGUAGGGUGCGAGCGUUGUCCGGAAUUAUUGGGCGUAAAGAGCUCGUAGGCGGCUUGUUGCGUCGAUUGUGAAAGCCCAGGGCUCAACCCCGGGUCUGCAGUCGAUACGGGCAGGCUUGGGCUCGGUAGGGGAGAUCGGAAUUCCUGGUGUAGCGGUGAAAUGCGCAGAUAUCAGGAGGAACACCGGUGGCGAAGGCGGAUCUCUGGGCCGAUACUGACGCUGAGGAGCGAAAGCGUGGGGAGCGAACAGG